rnacentral:lncRNA from 1 species
GUCACUUCUCUGCUCUCUUCUGUUGCAUAUUCAGGCUUGCCAUACCCAUGCAGCUUGGGUAGACAAGAUCGUUAAUGGACCAAGGUACCGGGUGCACAUGCCAUCUGGGCCCUACGUGUGUGGUGGCUCAGUGGCGUAUCCAAAGCCAGAAUAAGCUGCCUGACGCUCUUCCCCUUCCCCUCGCCCUGGUUGUGGGCCACG